UUGCACAUGAAACUCUGAGCAUCUCUUUAAUUGUCAUCUUAGGAUAAAUUCCAGGAUUAGGGCUUGUGGGUCAAUACGUAGGCAGUUUAAAGAUAUUUACACAUAUUGUCAUUUUUGUUUUCCUUCUAGAAGACUAUAUCUGCUAAUACACCCAUCCUUGUUGACUAUUUACGGUUUUACCCAACUCCUGAGUGCUAUGGUCAGUGCCACCAAGUUCAUGGGUCUGGCAGUGAUGGGAAAAUGGAGAUGCAUUUCUUGCAGUCCAGCUAAUGGAUACUUGGUGAACUUGUUUGUUGUUGCUCAGUUGGUAAGUCGUGUCCAACUCUGUGACCCCAUGUACUGCAGUACACCAGCUUUCCCUGUUCUUCACUAUCUCCCGGAGUUUGCUCAAACUCGUGCCCAUUAAGUCAGUGAUGCCAUCCAACCAUCUCAUCUUCUGUUGCCCCCUUCUCUUGCCCUCAGUCUUUCCCAGCAUCAGAGUCUUUUCCAGUAAGUUGGCACUUUGCAUCAGGUGGCCAAAGUGGAGCAUUGGAGUAUCAACUUCAGCAUCAGUCCUUUCAAUGAAUAUUCAGGACUGAUUUCCUUUAGGAUUGACUGGUUUGAUCUCCAUGCUGUCCAAGGGACUCUCAAGAGUCUUCUCCAGCCCCACAGUUUGAAAGCAUCAAUUAUCCAGUGCUCAGUCUUCUUUAUGGUCCAGUUCUCACAUCCAUAUAUGACUACUGGAAAAACCAUAGCUUUGACCAUAUGGACCUUUGUCAACAGAGUGAUGUCUGGUUUUUAAUACACUAUCUAGUUUUGUCAUAGCUUUUCUUCCAAGGAGCAAGCAUCUUGCCCACUACGUUUCUAUUAUGCUCAUCAACCUGAAAAAAUUAUUUUAUCUUUCAAUCUGCUUUGCCCCAAAGCACCAUAUCCACAAAUAACC
rnacentral:lncRNA from 1 species